rnacentral:SRP_RNA from 2 species
GGAGGUUGGCGGCGGACGCGCCGCUCGCCAACCGGGUCAGGACCGGAAGGUAGCAGCCCCAACGAGUCAGGCACGGGUUGCCCGUCCAGCCUCCCAC